UACGUAGGCAGCAAGCGUUGUUCGGAGUUACUGGGCGUAAAGGGUGUGUAGGCGGUUGUUUAAGUUUGGUGUGAAAUCUCCCGGCUCAACUGGGAGGGUGCGCCGAAUACUGAAUGACUAGAGUGCGGGAGAGGAAAGUGGAAUUCCUGGUGUAGCGGUGAAAUGCGUAGAUAUCUAGAGGAACACCAGAGGCGAAAGCGAAUCACUGGACAGAACCUGACGCUGAGGCACGAAAGCUAGGGGAGCAAACGGG
rnacentral:rRNA from 1 species